AUGAUUCAAAAAAAUCUUUUAAUCACUUUAGUUGAUCAAAUAACCAAAAUAGUUUGCUAAUAUAUGCAUGAAACACUAAAUGUAUUUGGUACAAGUACCGAUUCAUACACCAUAAACAAUGUGACUAUUGUAAUUAAUAAUAUACUCUGGUCAUGCAAUUGUGAGGAUUUUACUUAAUUUCACAUUAAAUUUUAUUGUUCUUUGUCAUCACUUUCAUACUAUGCUAAUCACUAAUUUUUCAUGUGUUGCCAAGACAGGGAGUCCAUGAUAUUAUUUUACCUUCAUAACAAGCUACUAACUAAGUUUGGAAUAAUUAUAAAUUAUGUAUACAUUUUUAUUACAAUACAUUCCUCAUUUUACUAAUGAAAAACAUAGGCUAAAUUGUAAAUGAUAGGGUACCAUAAUAGAAUUAAUGAAAUUGAUUUAUUACACAUGAGGCUAAAUUGCAAAAGAUAAGAUAUCAUGGUAGAGUUAAUGAAAUUAGUUUACCACAUACGGGGCUAAAAUGUAAAAGAUAGGGUGUCAUAAUAUAAUUAAUAAAAUUUAUUUACAACAUAUGGGGCUAUAUUGAAAAAAUUAGGGUGGCAUAGUAGCAUUAAUGAAAGUGAAUUAGGAACAAUUACUUUAGAUAGUGAUGAUUAAUUGUUGUCACUAAUUUUGAACCAGUAACCACAUUGUGAUAACAUUGUAAGUAGUCAUUAUAGGGCCCAUUUCAAUGACAACAUUUUUUCAAGUCGUCACAAUAGUGAUUUCCCAGCACACAGGCCAGUUGCGCGCCACCUAUAUUGUGACGAUUAAUCCCGUGUUGUCACUGAUGAUGAGUCUACUCUCGGUCAACUAUGAUAACAUCAAAAGUUGUCACUAAAUUUGUCAACUGUGACAAUCUUUUCUGUUGUCACUGAGAAUGUUGUCACAAAAGGUCAAAUUU
rnacentral:lncRNA from 1 species